rnacentral:ncRNA from 1 species
GGAAGCCGUGUGCAAUGAAAAAUGCAAGCACGGCUUGGGGAGGGGUUUUUCUUUAUUUAAGUAAUAUAACAAAGAAAUUAUCUAGUUCUGGGU